AAGCUAAAAAGGGAUAUAGGAAAUUGUUAAUUCUCUUGCAAAUACUUCAUAAUAUCAUCGCGUGACUUAACAAUCAACGUAGGUACUCACGUUGCUGAAUGAGACUAGAGACAGGCGGACUACAUAUCCACUGGUUUCUGACUGAUAACAGAUAAUGAGGUCCAGUCCAUUUGUAACAUCGUUUGCUGCAUCGCAGAAUAAAAAUAUUUGCAAAUUGCAAGCAACGUACAUCACCAGAGAAUUGAACUCUUUAUAAUGGCUCUAACUGAACUGUCGUGAAUACAUUAACGCAGAGAACAAGUGAGCUAGCACAAUAUUGGAGGAAUAUUGAGCCAGUGAAUGUAUCAUUGGUUUUCCUGGAGAAUCUAAAUGGAAAUUGAUCCUUCGAUUUAAUGGGUCAGGGAUCAAUUUUUGUAUGUCGUAUUUAAUUUCCUAAUUCUCCUCCGUCCGAGAUUCGGGAUCCUAAAUUUAUCGACGUAUAGGGAAAUUAUGAGAGAUGUAAUUUUUUUUAAUGCCCAACUGAGAUUUGAAAUCACAAUUAUCGCGGUGAAUUUAAUUGAAUUUUCAGAACGUUAUUGAUUACUUGUUGCAAUGUCAAUUUAAAUCCUCUCAAUUUCAAAUUUCCAAAUUUUUAGUGAUUGAUGAAAAAAGGAUAUUCUAAUUAUUCUCUGUCACUUACCACAAUAUACUCAGCUCAAAAAUUGCAAGAUGACUUGUGUAAUUGACCAAAUAUUUUGUUUCCACUUUAAUAGUUCUCCCACAAGGAGCUGGAACUCGAAAGCUAAAUCUGAAUAGAAGACAUAUAUAUGACAUGUUUUAUUAUUGAUCUUUGCUAUUUAUUUUAUCUCUGUUAACCAAAUUAGACGUAAGAAAAUGAAACUUAUUGGAUGAGAGAAGAUGGCCUGUGUAGAUGUAAAACUAGAAAAGUAACA